GCUGACUCCUAGUCCAGUGCUCG
rnacentral:miRNA from 1 species